UGGCUGUGUACUCGAUUUUCUGCACCUGUCAACAACGGGUGUGGCUGAAAUAGCAGAAUCCACAAAUUUAAGGUGUGUCCACAGACUUUUGGCCACGUAGUGAAUAUAAAUCUCUUUCACCUAAACAAUGCUCAUAUUUUGAUUGACAACUAUUCCACCAUGUGAUGAAUUGCACUGCGUUGUGAGAGUUUCAGACUCCGUUUCAAGUGUACCGGCAGUGAUUCUAAAAGUAUGUGUGUGACAAAGUGAGUAUGUAUUUCCUUUGUUUGUUUAUGAGAUAGAGGAUAAGAUACGGUGUCACUAUGUAAGAGAGUGCGGUUGUGUGUGUGUACGCUUAUUUGUGUGUGUGUGUGUGUGUAUGCGUAUUUGUGUAUGAGUAAGUAAGAAAGAGAGAGAGAGUGCGUAAGAGAGAGAGAGAGACUGAUAAAAGAGAGCAAGAGAGUGUGCGGCAAAGCCUGUUGACUCGGUGUAAGAAUGACUGCGUGAGUACUGGAUGAACAGAUCACACCCUCACACUGACGAGGAAAAGGCGGAGAGGAAGGCAGACUGAACAAGGAGAAAGAAGUCGGGGAGAAAGGAGACAGGAAGGCAAAGAAGAAAGCUAGAGGGGAAGGCAGAGAGAGGAAGAGACAGGCUAGCAGUACAGUCUCUCUGGUAGCAACGGCUCAAGGCAUCUAUUCCCUACUCUUUCUGUGGGCUUGUAUAGAGACAGACAUGAGGACUCUGAGAGCUACAGUAUAGUAUAUCUUCAUGGAUAGGCUGGGUGGCUGGGCUCCUCUCCUUACAACCGGACAGCACAGCAACACAGGCAGCAUGGAGAUGAUGCCUGAGGGACACCAUAUGUCUCACCGUGGGCGAUUUUUAAACAGGCGAAGACCUCCCAAAUACCCCAGAGCUUCCUGCCCUGCUUUGCUGAUGCUGCAACGGUACUGUGUUGGACCUCGCUCCUCUUCAGGGAAGCUGUACUCUUGUAUGGAUGUAUAAAAUACUGCCAACUGUAUUGCUAAAGUGCAAACUUUCAAAAUAUCCACAUACUGCUUCUCCCUCUUGUUGGAAGUCAACUGUAGCCUGUUCUUGUGUGUAUAUAGGAAAUACUACCCACUGUAACUGUAUUGCUAGAGUGCAAGCUUGCGGAAUUUCUCCAAGACCCCAUCCUCCUUGUUUCCC